UGUCUGUCAGAGGGUUGCCUUUAUUAAUCCUAGUAAUCCUCUUGCAGAAUUUUUGCUUCCUGUCCCCGAAACUUUAAGCCCCGCUGGCUUGGCGAUCUUAGUUCCCAAGGAAGGAAUGUUUGCACUAUUUGGAAGAUAAGACUACCACCUGGACAUUCUGGGCUCUUAUGCUAGUGAACCACUGGGGGGGGUGGGCAGUGGGGGAGCAGGAGAGGGGAGUGUAAUCUGUCUGAGUGACUGACCCUGAUGAUCAGAGAGAAAGGGUGCUGGCUUCCACACGAUGGAGGCGAAAUGAACCAUGUCCAACAGCAAAGGUUAAUGGAAAACUAUAGCACCCAGGGGGAGGGAGGGGAAGAUGAUUAAAAAGCCAGGCUCUCAGGGACUGAAGAUUUGGGCCACUGUACCAGGUAAAGAACCCUGAAUAGCUGUGGUUUGAGCUAAGGGCAGAGAAAACACGGAGGGAUAGUGGAAGAAGCUUCACACAGCUUCAAUCGCAAUGUGAUGACCAGGUACAGAAGUGAGGACUCUUUUUUUUUUUUCAGGGCUGCACCUGGCAUAUGGAGGUUCCAGGCCAGGGGUCGAAUCAGAGCUAUAGCUGCCGGCCUAUGCCACAGCCAGAGCAACACGGGAACCAAGCCAUAUCUGUGACCUACACCGCAUCUUAUGGUAACGCCGGAUCCUUAACCCACCAAGCGAGGCCAGGGAUCAAACCUGCAUCCUCAUGGAUACUAGUUGGGUUUGUUUCUGCUGUACUACGAUGGAACUCCCAGAAGUGAGGACUCUUUAAGUUGCUUUGCUCAUUUUCUAUUUGCCUGUUAUGUGUACACAACAAUUUGUAAAUGUUUUUUUUUCUUCCUGCUUUUAAGUUAACUUGCUGGAAGUUUACAACCUAGUUUUUAAGUUGUAAGAUUCAGUGAGACUAACUGGAUCUCAAGAGUAAUAUAUAAAACUGUCAAUGGAGGCAUGACUCUUGGGACUGUGCAUCUCAUUUUGAAAAAGGUUGAAAACUGUUCUCUUGCAGGAAGGGCAACUGUUCUUUUUUGUCUUUUUUACUGUGGUUGUUGCAGCUGAGUCAUCAAAAGGGGGCUGGGCAGGUUAUCAAUUUAGUGCCCUCAGCUCCAAAUUCACUGGCACCCUUCUUGCCUGUUCUGUGAAAAUGGCUUUGAGCCCGUUAGACUUUUCCUUUUCAGCUACAUUGAAGCUUUGCUAGAAAACAGUAGUGGAGACAAACCACAGAAGACAGGGCUUUGCUUCCCGGUUCCUGUGUGCUCCCUUAAAAGCACUGAGUGCAGCUUCUUCAGCAUCAGGCUCCUGCUGUGCUCGAAGAUUCUCCACCAAUUCCCGGUUAUUCCAGUCCUCUUAUAGUUAUUAACUGCUAAAAUCAAACUUUUCCUGAUCAGAUUAUUUGUAUAGGUUUUCUCUUUUUGUCUUUUUAGGGCUCCACCCACAGCAUAUGGAAGUUCCCAGGCUAGGGGUCGAUCCGGAGCUGCAGCUGCUGACCUACGCCACAGUCACAGCAAUGUGGGGUCCAAGCCACGUCUGCGACCUAUACCACAGCUCACAGUAACGCUGGAUCCUUAAGCCACUGAGCUAGGCCAGGGAUUGAACCCAAAUCCAGUUCCUCUCUCUUGAUUGGACCUGGAUUAAGCUGGUACUAGGCUGGACUAGACAGUGGCAGAGAAUGAAAAGCAGCAGGAAGAUUUACUCAGAAAGUAAAAGACAGGCCUCAGUAACAGAUUAGACAAAGGGAAGUGGUGCGGGUAGGGUGACCCUAGAAAAAUAUCCAGCUUAUUUUAGGUGUACUCGCAGCAGGUGGAAGUUCCUGAGCCAAGGAUCAAUUCUAAACCAGAGCUGCAGCCAGUGCAGGAUCCUUAACCCACUGCACCUCCAGAGACAAGCUGGGUCAUUAACCCGCUCAUCGCAGCAAGAACUCCCAAGGAAUCCCAAGUUUUAACGCCUGGACAGAAGAAGAUGAGCCUGCAGAGGAAAUGCUGAAGCUGAUAAGAGGCAGAGGAAAAGAAGGAUGAACACGGGGCCCUCCAUAGCUGCAGGUUCUGUAUCUGCAGAGUCAACCAGCCUAGGCUCGAAAAUAUGCAGGAAAAAAAAAUUCCAGGAAAUUCCAAAAAGCAACACUUGAAUUUAUCACAUGACUGGAAACUAUUUAAUUUACAUUAUACUAGGCAUGAUAACCUAGAGAUGAUUUAAAGUAGAUAUGUGUAGGUUAUGCGCCAUCACUAGACCAUUUUAUACAGGGGACUUGAGCAUCCUCAGAAUUUGGUGUCCGCAGGGUCCUAGAACAACUAGGAUACCUAGGGACCACUGUACUGCAUCCCAGAAGCAAAGGGUGGCAGCCAGGGAUGCAUGGUUCCUUCCUCCCCUUAAGAGAACUUGCUGCAGUUGACUGACUUCCACCAAUGGCCAUGUCCUCAGACCUGCCACAGUGCCCAGCCCAAGGCCAUACUCCCCUCGAGGCAGCUCCUAAUCGAUGACUGAGCUUGUCCAAAACCACAUGUGCUAGAACCUUCUGACAGGCAACCUUUGCUCCGGGCUCCCCACUGGCCCAGCUGAGAUGUUCUCUGAGUUGCACACAGUCAGAGGCUCUUCUCACACACCCCUGCACUGCAGGCUGAAACCACCCACCUCCUGACUCCAGUUAAGCCCAGCAAUAAUUUCUCUUUUAGUCAGAGACUUUAUGACUUAGAGACAACUGCUUCCUAACCGCUGAGAGGAAGAGACAACCAUAACAUUCACCAGACAACAGACUAUAGGGUAGACAGUCUGUGAGGAGUUUUCUGAAAAAGUCCACUCCUAGAGUUGCCAUUAUGGCCCAGUAGUAACAAACACAACUAGUAUCGAUGAGGACUCAGGUUCGAUCCCUGGCCCCUCGCUCAGUGGGUUGAGGAUCCGACAUUGCCAUGAGCUAUGACACAGGCCAGCAGCUGCGGCUCCAAUUCAAUCCUGGGAACUUCCAUGGCUCAACUGUGGCCCUAAAAAAAAAAAAAAAAAA
rnacentral:lncRNA from 1 species